rnacentral:lncRNA from 1 species
CUUGCAACCUAGCCAGUUCAAACAUUGACUUCCACUGACUGAGGUACAGAUUGUGUGUGUGUGUGUGUGUGUGUGCGUGCGUGCGUGCGUGCGUGUGUAUACUUGGACCAAAAGUCCCUAGAGGAAUAGUUAGUAAACAAACUAAAACUGGACCAACUGGGGACAUGCUGUUGGUCCAAAAGGUAAAAUGCUAUUUCUAGGAGUUAGGGUUAGAUGUUAGGAAAUAGGGUUAGGAGUUAGGGUAAGGAGUUAGGGUUAGGACUUAGGGUUAGGAGUUAGGAGUUAGGGUUAGGACUUAGGGUUAGGAGUUAGGGUUAGAUGUUAGGAAAUAGGAUUAGGAGUUAGGGUAAGGAGUAAGGACUUAGGGUUAGGAGUUAGGAGUUAGAUGUUAGGAAAUAGGGUUAGGAGUUAGGGUAAGGAGUUAGGAGUUAGGGUUAGAUGUUAGGAAAUAGGGUUAGGAGUUAGAAGUUAGGAUUAGGAGUUAGGAGUUAGGAGUUAGGGUUAGAGGUUAGGAAUUAGGGUUAGGACUUAGGGUUAGGACUUAGGAGUUCGGACCUAGGGUUAGGAGUUAGGGUUAGGACUUAGGGUUAGGACUUAGGGUUAGGACUUAGGGUUAGGACUUAGGGUUAGGACUUAGGAGUUCGGACCUAGGGUUAGGAGUUAGGAGUUAGAAGUUAGGGUUAGGAGUUAGGAGUUAGGAGUUAGGGUUAGGAGUUAGGACCUAGGGUUAGGAGUUAGAAUUAGGAGUUAGGGUUAGGAGUUAGGGUUAGAUGUUAGGAAAUAGGAUUAGGAGUUAGGGUAAGGAGUAAGGACUUAGGGUUAGGAGUUAGGAGUUAGAUGUUAGGAAAUAGGGUUAGGAGUUAGGGUAAGGAGUUAGGGUUAGAUGUUAGGAAAUAGGGUUAGGAGUUAGGGUUAGAUGUUAGGAAAUAGGGUUAGGAGUUAGAAGUUAGGAGUUAGGGUUAGGAGUUAGGAGUUAG